rnacentral:rRNA from 1 species
GGGGGGAGGGCUUGCGUUUUCACAUAAAACUCGAUACAGUGUAGAAUGUUUCUUUUUUUGCGGUCACACGCAAUCAAUACAACUUUCAACAACGGAUCUCUUGGCUCUCGCAUCGAUGAAGAACGCAGCGAAAUGCGAUACGUAAUGUGAAUUGCAGAAUUCAGUGAAUCAUCGAAUCUUUGAACGCACCUUGCGCCCCUUGGCAUUCCGAGGGGCACACCCGUUUGAGUGUCGUGAAAUCUUCAAAAUCCUUUUUUCUUCUUAAAGGGUUUUGGACUUGGAGGUUUAAUGCUCGCCCUUUCUUUUGAAAGUGAGCUCCUCUCAAAAGAAUUAGUGGGGUCCGCUUUGCUGAUCCUUGACGUGAUAAAAUGUUUCUACGUUUUGGGUUUAGCUCUGUUCCUUGGACGCCUGCUCCUAACCGUCUCACUGACAAUGAUGGUGCUCUGGUCACCGACCGUCUACAUCGGCGGGAGGCUGGACCCACGAAAAGAAAACCUUGACCUCAAAUCGGGUGAGACUACCCGCUGAACUUAAGCAUAUCAAUAAGCGGAGGAAAAGAAACUAACAAGGAUUCCCCUAGUAACUGCGAGUGAAGCGGGAAAAGCUCAAAUUUAAAAUCUGGUGGUCUUUGGCCAUCCGAGU